AGAUUUGGUUACAUAAAAGAUGGUGUCUACAAAUGCUUUGGAAGAAAUGCAGUUGUUUGGGCACAGUUAUAAGACUUUUGGAGCAAUAAUGUUACAUUAAGGGUGGUGAAAACAACCCAAUAACAAUAAAUAUUUGUGGACUUCACAAAAAACCGAUAACAGGUUCUAAAUGUCAAAUAAAACAGCUAAUAACCUGCUCAUUGGAUUCUGUCACUGAGCCUGGAGCACUGAGGAAAUGUGCAGCCUUGACACCUCUGACCCCUCCACCCCCAGCCCCCUGGGGGAAAGGUAUGAACCAACCCAUUUCUUUACUUUUUCUGACUUUGGAACAUUAAUGCACCUUGUCUCCAUUAAGCAACCCUUCACCAUACAUUUAUGAAAGAAUAAGGAAGAAGACAACUAAACCAAAACUAAUGAUGAAAGUAUCUUUAGAGUUCAUUGUAAAGAUGUGGAAACUGAGUCUCAGAAAGAUUAAGGAACCUGCCUAAGAGCAUCCAGCAUGUCUAUGAUAGACUCUGUAAUCUGCCAUAUUUAGAUCCAAAUCCCACUUCUUCCCUAGUUGGAUGACCCUGGCAAAUUACUUAAUCCUCCAAAGCUUCAGUUUCUUCAUGAGCAAAAAGCAAAACAGUGAUGAAAUUUACUUCACAGUAUUUGAGAAUACUAAACAAAAUAAUAUACUUGAAAGUAUCUUGUUCGGUGCCUUCCGAGUAGGCACACAAUCAGUGCUAGUUUUCCUUUUUCCUCACUGCCUCUUACUCUCCAUGAUUUAUUCUGCUAUGCUAGGAUACAACUCGGAGAUUAUGAUGCUACUAGGGACCAGAUGAUUCUACUGCAAACAUUCUCAAAACACACAAAUGUUUCAUAAAAAGACUAUUGAUUCCUUCCAUCUUUACAAUUCUGCAGUCAUGGUAUCUCACUUUACCUUUGUCAGACUUCUUAAUGGUCAUUUAACUGCUCCAUUUCUGUUGUGUCUAUGAGUUAUUUGAUAUCAGUGAGUACUAACACUAGUGAACACGCAGUCUUGCUAGCCAAAUAUUUGCCUUUGGAGACUUCCAGCGAUUGUGAUUACUGUAUUCUUACAGCACAUGUAGUUCCACUUCUAGCAGGUGGACACUUGAAAUGUCUAGCUAUGUUUAUGUGCCAUCACAUAAUUAGCAACCUGUUGUAAAUUAUCCAGCAAGUGAUGAUUUGUCAGAAUGAACAAUAGCUGGGAUUGUACAUUGCUGACUUUUGUAUUGUAACCUGAAAGAUGGCAUCCUUUUUCCUGCUUGGAAUAAAAACUCUUCUGAUAUUAAAUGAUUUUUAAAAAUUAACUAUAUCGACUCUAGUCUGAUAGCAAAAUAAUACAGUAUGCAUAUUGGUCUACUGAAAGAUCCCUAUUAAGAAUCUGCAUGUAUACUUUUGUUAUAUUUUGUAAUGCGUGUUUUCAAUAAAAAUCUUAAUGUAGCAAAAUUGGUGAAUAGAAGAGCAUUCUCAAAUAGCAGAAAAGAGUAUAAAUUGUUAGACAUUGAUAAUUCGCCAAUUAAUUUAACCAUCAAUAUGAUGUGAUUUAGCUCCUGUUUUUCACAUUAUUUACAUCUGAGACUCUGUAUUAUGCACAGUGGAAGAUACAAAGAUUAAUUGGAUACAGGUUUUGCUUUCAAGAAGAUUAUAGUUUAGAGAGAGAAACAAACUAAGGUCAUUAAAUGUUAGUUGAAAGACUGAAUGAAACAAUUUAUAGACAAUCAUAGUAGCUAUGAGAGUGAAACUUGCAAAGGGCCAGAUUCAGAGUUAACACUUAGCAUAAUUAAGAGAACAGUCAAUUAAUACUGAUUUUCCCUAUUAAAUUUACUAAGUGAAGUUGAUUUUCAAAAUCCAUUUAGACAAUGUUUUCUCAUUGAUUAUUUCUCUAUGAAUGAUGUCAGGGAACACUGCUCCAGUUUUGUAAUGGUAUGAGGGAAUACGUUUCCUUUUAAAUACAAAUUAUGUUACUUAAUCUUUAUACAAAGAGACCUUGCCAAGAACUGUCAGCAUUAGGCUAUUAUGUUAAUUAACAUUUUGGAGUUUGAAGAAAGGGGUAGGACCCUCACCCAGUCAAUGACGGUCUUUCUUUUUAAAACUAAAAUGAAUGAUUUUUUUUUUAUGGAAAUAAAACUAUUUCCCCCCAAUUAGGGAAUGUUUAUAAUUUAUUUCCUGGAUCACAGAUGUGGACCCUGCAUACAAACUGAAAUGAUGAACUUAUGAAUUACAUCUGAGAACUGAUUUUCGUUAUUCAUCAAGUACUUAAUUUGUGCUAGGUUCUCUGAAUAUUGCUGGAUACAGAGAUGAUUAAGGGACCCAGCCUUUGACCUCAGAGGUUUAGUGCUUCAGCAGAUAUGUAAA